rnacentral:rRNA from 1 species
CAACGCCGCGUGGAGGAUGAAGUCCUUCGGGACGUAAACUCCUUUCGAUCGGGACGAUAAUGACGGUACCGGAAGAAGAAGCCCCGGCUAACUUCGUGC